ensembl:misc_RNA Metazoa_SRP Metazoan signal recognition particle RNA
GCCAGGCGUGGUGGCGGGCGCCUGUAAUCCCAGCUACUCGGGAGGCUGAGGUGGGAGAAUUGCUUGAACCCAGGAGGUGGAGGCUGCAGUGAGCCAAGAUUGCACCACUACACUCCAGCCUGGGUGACAGAGCGAGACUCCGUCUCAA